CCAUCAUCCUGGCAGGGGAGAGGCCGUGAUCAAGAAGUCUGUGCUGACCCCUGCAAAUUUGUGAUUCCCAAAUGUGGGAAUCUCGACUGGAUAAUUUCCUGUAGCGGGGGAGUGCUUUUUGCGCUCUCCCCUU
ensembl:snRNA U1 U1 spliceosomal RNA